AUGCUAGGUGAGUUCAUCACUAACCUUGUACUGUACUCCAUGUGGGAUCCUGUUUCUCAGUUUUGGGGGUCGUUUUAUUUUCCAAAGUGGCUAUCUAUACAGUUCAGGUAUAAUGCCAUGCUCUCCAGUAAUUUUAUUUUGGGGGUCGUUUUAUUUUCUGAAUCACAUUUUCAGUUUUGCAAAUUCUGUAAUUUUGCACAUGAAGCUUCUGUAAUUUUGCCCAUGAAGCUUCAGAUUUUAACACAUGAAGCUUCUGCUACUGUUAAUCUUGUCAUUAAUCUUCUGUUGACUUGGUACAUUAGCUUAAAAUGA
rnacentral:rRNA from 1 species